rnacentral:tRNA from 1 species
AUCUAAUUAGUUUAUUAAAAAUAUUAAGUUGUGGAUUUAAAGAUGUAUUAUCAUUAGAUA